rnacentral:misc_RNA from 1 species
GGCCUUUGUCUUUUUGAAAGGGAAAACUCAUUACAUCUUUAAUGUGACAUUUGAUAUUUGAAAGCAUCACUCAAAUUAAGUUGUAGACAGCAAAAUAUAAUGGCCUCUUGCCUAGAGGCUGCUAGGGGGGAAGAGUUACUGGUAUCCAAUUGUAUGCUCCUUCACAUGGAGACACUUUCAUGGAGGAGGGAACUGAUAUGCUCCUCGAGAAUCAGAAGGCGAUGGUUUUCAUCAUAACUGUACAUCAAAGGAACCAUCCUUGCAACAUUAAGACAGGCCUUGGUGAAAGUGAGUGAAAAUGGAUUUUGAAAAAGGCAUUUCUUGUUGAGUUGUUUCCAGGUCUCUGAAAUCAUCUGGUGGACAUGUUUUCUCGCACUUUCCACUGAACAUCCUUGGUGUUCCUUCAAGUAACAUUCCACGUAUGAUCCAUCAUAGCCAUCCUGAUUCUCAUCCUUGGCACUUCCCAAGUCAUCCCAGAGCCGAAGAAUUCUGGCAGUAGAAUUUAUUAUGCCUGGAUUGGCAUCGAUCAAUUCCACAUUUUCCUUGGUUAUACCUUCACCCAACAGAAAGAAAAGGUGAACAAGAACAGCAUGUACACCUGAACUCAAAUUCCCAUUCUUCAAGUACUCUUCUGAAUUUGGCAAAUCACCUGAAGCAAACCAUUUUGCUUCUUCUAGAAAUGCAUUGCACAAACUUGCCCACGUUUUUCGUAGAGAAAGUAGAGGAUUCCAGCCAUGCCGUUUAUAGACCUUGAAGCUAAUUUCAUUGGUGACGUUGUCAAGAGCAUUGAAACAUAUCCUCAUGUAGUCUGGUAGCUGUUCAGUGGCAGCAAUGUCCCAUCUAUCGACAACUUGGGUGAAGAGAGUGAGGUCAUCCAGCGUCCCAUUAACAUCAAAAAUAUCAUCUAUCAUGUAAACAAAAGAUAUGGGUUUUACGAGAUCUAUCCUUUGCUCUGACAAGCUUGGAUCUGUGAGGGCUGUCAUCGACCAUGUCCACCAUUUAAGUGGUUGGUCUCUUGCAAACUUCAACUCCUUGUUCAGGCCCAAUUCUUUCCACCACUCUGAAAUUCGAAGAAUUUCUUGUUGGUGUUGAGAUUGAACCAUCGUAAAAUCGAAUUUUGCAAGUUCUUGUAAUUCAUUCAUCCACCCAUUAGCCCCUUGCAAAUUUGUAAUGAAGUGUUUGGCGAAGAACAUUGGGUGACUUUUAUAGUGGGGAUGCUUCAACGUAUGCUCUACUGCUCUGGCUUCAGGAUAGUCAAGACUUGUCAUGUAUGAAUGCAAAAGCUGGUAACUAUAGUCUCCAGCUUCAUCAAGUAUAUCUUCUCCUUCUAUACGAAGCUGUGAAACUUCGUAUAAAGCCAUUAAUCCCUUGAUUUCAUGAGUUAGUUCUUUCUUAAAUUUCCCAUCCUCGGUCUUAAACGUGUCGAACACUCCUGCAGGAACAUAGUAACCCUCUUGUCUCAAGAGUCGAAAGCGAAGGGCAACCUCAUGGAGAUCAGUGUCAUUAUGAGUCUUAGGCAUCAUCAUAUAGUGCCUUUGUAAAGUUGCGCCAAUUUCCUCCUGGAAAAGAUGCUCAACCCCAAGACGUUGGAUAGCAUCAACCAUAGCCAGACUUUGAAAUUCAGCAUCUUUUCCUUGUUUUUUCAGCAUAUUCUUGAAUGCCUUGAUUUUUUU